GGCUCCUCUGCCCCACCUGUCAGUCUCCCCUCUGCCCCUACUUGCCUUGUGCCAAGCUGCCUCUCCUCCUUUUCCUCAAGCGGAGCAGGGCAAAGCAGAGUGGAGCAGAGGAGGCCACACAAUAACUGCAGAGUAGAGCAGAGCAGCGGCCAGCGGAGCAGAUCAGAUGGCGCCUCCAUCGUCUUCGCCGGGCGUGCGCGUGCUCGACCGGAUCCGCGUCUCGCCGCCGCCGCCGCCCGAUUCCGCGCUCCCGCUCACCUUCUUCGACGUGGCCUGGUUCUUCACCGGCCCCGUCGAGCGCCUCUUCUUCUACCGCCACCCGGACCCGGCCUCCGCGCUCCCGCUCCUCCGCUCCUCGCUCGCCGUCGCGCUCCGCCGCUUCUACCCGUUGGCCGGCACCAUCAGGCCCCACCCGCCGUUCCUCUGCUCAUACACCCCUGGCGCCGACGCCCUCACCUUGGUCGUCGCCGAGUCCGACAGCCCCGACGAGUUCGACCGCAUCGUCGCCAGGUCGCCCAGGGACCUGGCCGGGAUCCGCCCGCUCGUGCCGCAGCUGCCGCCGCCUGGGGAGGACGGGGCGUUCGCGCUCGCCGCCGUGCAGGCCACCGUCUUCCCCGGCCGCGGGCUCUGCCUCGGCGUCUCCGUCCACCACGCCGCCUGCGACGACGCCUCCACCAUGCAAUUCGUCCGCACCUGGGCCGCCGCCUGCCGUCUCGGCCUCGAGAGUGACGACGGAUCCGAUCCGAGGACGCCGCGCUGCCGCCGCGCCCGGUCCUGGACCGCUCCCUCGUCGCUGACCCCGACGACCUGCGCGGGAAGACGCUCGCCGGGAUGGCGCGGCUCGCCCCUCCUCCGCCUCCUCCGCCGCCGCCGCAGCAGGAGCAGGAGGAGAAAGCGCCGAUGGUGAUGGCGUCGUUCCUGCUGCCGCGCCACCAGAUCGACCGCAUCAAGGAGGGGGCGGUGGCGAAGGCAGACGCGAAGCCGUCGUCUUUCGUGGCGGCGUCGGCGCUGGCGUGGGUGUGCCUCAUCAAGUCCGGAUCCGCCGGCGUCGCGGGCGCCGAGCGCAGCCACAUGCUCUUCUCCGCCGAGUGCCGGACCAGGCUGACGCCGCCGCUCCCCGCCGAGUACUUCGGCAACUGCCUGCGCCCCUGCUUCGUGGAGUCCGCCACGGCGGACCUCCUCUCCGGCGAGACAGCGGACGGCGUGGCUGCUGCGGCGUCGGCGAUCGGGAGCGCGAUCAGGGAGAUGGAGCAGGGCGUGCUGGAGGGCGCGGAGGGGUGGCUGGGCAAGGUGCUGUCUGUGCUUCCGGAGCGGCCCAUGUCGGUGGGCGGAUCACCCAGGCACGGCGUGUACGAGACCACAGACUUCGGAUGGGGCCGGCCAGCGAGGGUGGAGAUGGUGUCGGUGGAGAAGACGCCGGGCACGGUGGCGCUGGCGGACAGCCCGGAGGGUGACGGCGGCAUCGAGCUCGGGGUGGUGUUGCCGACCGACGCCAUGGACGCCUUCGCUUCCUGCUUCGCCGAUGCCCUCGGUGGCGCCGCCAUCUGACUGGCAUUGCCGAUCCGAGGUGCAGCUGCAUUCUUCAGCAACACAAAACGAAGGUUGCAUCCAAGCAGCGUAGUGGAAUCUGUGAGUUUUGUAUUCAAUUUGCUUUUCUGGUUGAGUGAGCUUGAUCUGGAAGUAGUACAGCAGCAUGUACUGCGACAUGGAGUAAUAAGCUGCUUGUGAGCGGGUCGAAUUGUUCGAAAUCAAAUCAAACAAACAUUAUGAACAAGUUUUUUUGCAAUGUUCUUACAGUAUAACACAACUGAGCGACAAGCAGACAGAUGGAGUCGCUAUUGGGAAGGAAAUUUCCGGAAAAUUUCUGUUCAACAAGGCUCUCACACUGAGCCCAACCCAACAGCCAGGAAGCAGCCCAUCGCAAAUACAGGCACACUGUACCUGAACUCCAGUUGUGCCAAAAAAAACUGAACGCCAGUUUUGUUUUGUUUAAAAAAAAAUAAAACUAGAUGUUGUGUAUGA